AUUGAUCGCUGGCGGCAGGCCUAACACAUGCAAGUCGAGCGAGCGGCGGAAGGGUGAGUAAUGUUUGGGAAACUGCCUGAUGGAGGGGGAUAACUACUGGAAACGGUAGCUAAUACCGCAUUCCAUCAGCUGUGCCCAGAUGGGAUUAGCUAGUCGGUGGGGUAACGGCUCAACUAGGCGACGAUCCCUAGCUGGUCUGAGAGGAUGACCAGCCACACUGGAACUGAGACACGGUCCAGACUCCUACGGGAGGCAGCAGUGGGGAAUAUUGCACCAGGGGCGCAAGCCUGAUGCAGCCAUGCCGCGUGUGUGAAGAAGGCCUUCGGGUUGUAAAGCACUUUCAGCCGGGAGGCGUUACCCCCAGAGGAAGCACCGGCUAACUCCGUGCCAGCCGCCGCGGUAAUAC
rnacentral:rRNA from 1 species